rnacentral:tRNA from 1 species
UACGGGUGUGGCGGAAUGGUAGACGCGCUAGGUUUAGGUUCUAGUAACUUUGGUUGUGAGAGUUCGAGUCUCUCCACCCGUAUC